rfam:Triticum aestivum genome assembly, contig: Triticum_aestivum_CS42_TGACv1_scaffold_394202_5AS
AAACUACUCCCUCUGUCCGGAAAUACUUGUCAUCAAAAUGAAUAAAAGGGGAUGUAUCUAGAUAUGUUUUAGUUCUAUAUAUAUUCUUUUUUAUCCAUUUUGAUGUCAAGUACAUCUUUUUUUGUCCAUUUUGAUGACAAGUAUUUUCGGAUGGAGGGAGUACUAC